rnacentral:rRNA from 1 species
UACAGAGGGUGCGAGCGUUAAUCGGAUUUACUGGGCGUAAAGCGCGCGUAGGUGGUUAAUUAAGUCAAAUGUGAAAUCCCCGAGCUUAACUUGGGAAUUGCAUUCGAUACUGGGAAGCUAGAGUAUGGGAGAGGAUGGUAGAAUUCCAGGUGUAGCGGUGAAAUGCGUAGAGAUCUGGAGGAAUACCGAUGGCGAAGGCAGCCAUCUGGCCUAAUACUGACGCUGAGGUACGAAAGUAUGGGGAGCAAACAGG